rnacentral:tRNA from 1 species
CAAAGAAUAGUUUAGAUUAGAAUCCUAGC